CUUCCCUUGGUUGCCAAGCUCUGCGCAGCGGACUCCCCCUGUCAAUAUGCAAGAGCAGCUCCCUCCCGCAGGCUGAGCAGAAAGGGGGAAAGGUCGACUCUCACAACUCCGGCUCAACCGUCACCUAGCGGGACGUGGGGAAACGCCGACCAGACCCCGACUAAACCGAGAUCGGGCUCAGCCCCUCACGUGUCAGGUGGGAAACUGAGCCCGGGGAGAGAAAGCCUGCGGGGCCAGGCCGGGACUCGCAGAGACUUCGUCCGCAUGCGGCCAGGCCCCGCCUCCGCGCGCGCAGUCCCGGGGCGCGCUCAACGGCCUAGGGCCCGGGCCACGAGCCGCGCAGACCCCUGCCUGCGCCCCGAGGGAGGCCGGGACCCCUAGCCGGCGGGACUGCGCGCCGUGCCCUCCGCGCUGGUCCCUGCGAGAGCCUCGCUUCCCCUCCCCCCUUCCCGCCUCCCCAGCUAGUGUCCCCGCCUUCCCCGCGGGCGACGGGCGGCGGCGGCGGCGGCGGGGCAGCGGGAGGAGCGGGCCGAGCAGUGGCAGCCGCGUCCUUGCACACUGGGAUGUAGCGAACCAGAAGGGGCCGAAGCUGCGCGCAGAGCCGGAGACGCAGCUGGAUCCGGGGCCCUAGCCAGAGUCCAAACCUAAGCCAGAGUCCGUGGCGAGCGAGCCCGGAGCCGAGGAGCCGCACGCGCCGCGCAGUCCGGGUCAGCUGUGCCGCAGGAAAGCAACAGACGUCGGCCGGAGCCCCGGCUGUCUUCGCCGCGCACCCCGACGUCCCGCCGCAGUGCUUGGAGGCGCCCCCAGCCCAAAGCGGCCUGCCGGAGCCGCCACCGGUCAGGCUUUUCCUUACCCUGAGAGAAACCCCAAAUGCUCUUCGCAAAAUCCAAUAAAGACAUUCCCGCAGCUUC